GGUUAAGCGACUAAGCGUACACGGUGGAUGCCUAGGCAGUCAGAGGCGAUGAAGGGCGUGCUAAUCUGCGAAAAGCGUCGGUAAGGUGAUAUGAACCGUUAUACCCGACGAUACCCGAAUGGGGAAACCCAGUGUGCUCCGGCACAUUAUCGUUAGAUGAAUACAUAGUCUAACGAGGCGAACCGGGGGAACUGAAACAUCUAAGUACCCCGAGGAAAAGAAAUCAACCGAGAUUCCCCCAGUAGCGGCGAGCGAACGGGGAAGAGCCCAGAACCUGAAUCAGUUUGUGUGUUAGUGGAAGCGUCUGGAAAGUCGCACGGUACAGGGUGAUAGUCCCGUACACAAAAAUGCACAGGCUGUGAGUUCGAUGAGUAGGGCGGGACACGUGACAUCCUGUCUGAAUAUGGGGGGACCAUCCUCCAAGGCUAAAUACUCCUGACUGACCGAUAGUGAACCAGUACCGUGAGGGAAAGGCGAAAAGAACCCCGGCGAGGGGAGUGAAAUAGAACCUGAAACCGUGUACGUACAAGCAGUGGGAGCCUACUUGUUAGGUGACUGCGUACCUUUUGUAUAAUGGGUCAGCGACUUAUAUUUUGUAGCAAGGUUAACCGAAUAGGGGAGCCGUAGGGAAACCGAGUCUUAACUGGGCGUCAAGUUGCAAGGUAUAGACCCGAAACCCGGUGAUCUAGCCAUGGGCAGGUUGAAGGUUGGGUAACACUAACUGGAGGACCGAACCGACUAAUGUUGAAAAAUUAGCGGAUGACUUGUGGCUGGGGGUGAAAGGCCAAUCAAACCGGGAGAUAGCUGGUUCUCCCCGAAAGCUAUUUAGGUAGCGCCUCGUGAACUCAUCUUCGGGGGUAGAGCACUGUUUCGACUAGGGGGCCAUCCCGGCUUACCAACUCGAUGCAAACUACGAAUACCGAAGAAUGUUAUCACGGGAGACACACGGCGGGUGCUAACGUCCGUCGUGAAGAGGGAAACAACCCAGACCGCCAGCUAAGGUCCCAAAGUCAUGGUUAAGUGGGAAACGAUGUGGGAAGGCAUAGACAGCCAGGAUGUUGGCUUAGAAGCAGCCAUCAUUUAAAGAAAGCGUAAUAGCUCACUGGUCGAGUCGGCCUGCGCGGAAGAUGUAACGGGGCUAAACCAUGCACCGAAGCUGCGGCAGCGACGCUUAGGCGUUGUUGGGUAGGGGAGCGUUCUGUAAGCCGUCGAAGGUGAACUGUGAGGUUUGCUGGAGGUAUCAGAAGUGCGAAUGCUGACAUAAGUAACGAUAAUGCGGGUGAAAAACCCGCACGCCGGAAGACCAAGGGUUCCUGUCCAACGUUAAUCGGGGCAGGGUGAGUCGACCCCUAAGGCGAGGCUGAAAAGCGUAGUCGAUGGGAAGCUGGUUAAUAUUCCAGCACUUGGUGUUACUGCGAAGGGGGGACGGAGAAGGCUAGGCUGGCCGGGCGACGGUUGUCCCGGUUCAAGCGUGUAGGGGGUGUGACCUGGUAAAUCCGGUU
rnacentral:rRNA from 1 species